CAUGACUACCGUGCUCUCGAUCUCCCUCCUUUUCUUCUUUAUGCUUCUCUUUAUCUUCGGUGUGGAAAUCAUCAAAUCGCCUUAGGAGAGCAGCAAGGCUUUUGUCCACACUAGCAACGGAUUCCUCCAAACUUGUGAGCUUGUUGUUUGUGGCAAUCUGCAUAGCCUCCAACUGCCCCAGCUUUUCAUUUGUCACCUGCAAGUCGUUAUCAAGUCCCUCUGUGUGCAGCUUCACUUUCCUUUCAAAAUGUUGUAUGAUGCCCUUAGUGCGAGGUGUAUGUGGUGUUUCGUUACCAUCAUCUGCCCCUGUCAUGGUGCAAAGACAGAGACAACAAAAAAGCAAGUGAAGAAAUAAAAGCCCUACAACUACUAGGAUGUAGCUACAGCAAGUCGCUCACACUCAACCUGUAACACAACUUCUUACCAAUUCUUACCUUGCUUGACAGGAGGGGUCGUCUGCCAACAAGUGGACAGCAAUGGACGAAGUGUAUCGGUGCUGCAGCACAAGACCUGUCAAGCUGUAGAGUAUGUGGACCUAUAGGUGGGCUGAAACAAGGAACGAACUAGCACCACGUUAGUUAUAAAAGCGAGCUGAAUAAGCGUUCGACGAUGGUACUGUGCUGGUCCUAGGCUAGACCGUGCUAGAGACGCGAGCCUGGACACAAAGGAAAACCACAACACACCCCCGAAAACAAGGUGGAACAAACCUAAAAUCAAUAUGAAAAACAGCCCCUUUUUUUCUCUUUUGAAUCUUUUCUCUUUUCUUUCUUUUUUUUUCUUUUUUUUGGGCUACCUCAAAAACUGAUUAUAUGAACAAAAGAAUACAAAAGAGCAAUUCGCUACACACACACACUCUCUCUCUCUAGAGUAAGGCUGAACAAGUAUGGAGUUAUCUUUCUUUUUGGAUCACAGAAGGACUUCGCAACAGAUUCGACAGAGAGAAGAUAUGGUAAUACUCAGCUGUGUAUAGAUGGUGACAAGAACUCGAAACUCUAAAGGACUAGACACUAAGACCAGCAACUCGACACAAACCGAAGCAACGCAAAUUCAACAAGCCCUAACUAAAACGGUACUAGCCAAGGCACAAAGGUUUAAUAGGAUUAUGGAAAAACUAAUCUACUAUAUUUUUUUUGGCUUUUCUGGACUAUAGGAAAUUAAUUAAAAACAGCAAAGGAUUAGAAGUCUCUCACCGAAGAACCUUGCUCUGAUUACAACUGAUGCGAACCCGCUAGGGUUUUUGCCCGAUCUUUUGAUGAGAGACGGGGAUAACUCGAUUGGUGGAUGGAGAUGACGUUCAUGGCCCGACUACAGCCCUCAAGACCGCGGCUUAGCAACCGAUACACCACGUCCAAUAGCCGUCACGAUCUUGUGGAGCACGACAACCAGCCCCUAGGGCUCCCGUCCUACAAGCAAUCGAAGAACUAGCAAGAACGAGGAAACAAGCACUGAAUUUGCAAGAUGAAUUGAAGGUUUCAAACUGAAUCGUAAUCAACAAUGGGGGUCCGAAGACAAGGAGACGGGCGGCUGAUCCUGCACGCGCGCCUACAAGCAAGUAGCGAAGGCUAAACUUGAUCUAAACAAAACCCCGUUGUUCAUGGC
rnacentral:lncRNA from 1 species